ensembl:lncRNA
CGGCGGCGUUGCCCCGGUAACGGCGGCGGCCAUGGCGGGCCCGGCCCGGGGAGCCCGGUGGAGCCCGGUGGAGCCCGGUGGAGCCCGGUGGAGCCCGGGCCUCGGUGCCGGGGAGCCAGCGGGGCCCCGGGCGGGAGCGGCGCAGGCCCGGUGGGGUUUGAGCGCUGCCAGGGGUGAAUGUGCCGCUCCUUUGUUCCCGGCUUUUCUGCUCCCACCCUUCAGCCCCCUGCCAGUGCAUCCAGGCACAUCCAGGGCUGGCUUUGUCGGCAUUCCAGGUGCUGAGGCCGGGUGACUGUGGUGAACUGCUCUGGAUUGAUGGAUUACCCAAUUUUUGCUGCUGGUAGAAGCAGUGUCACCUGCUGAGAGAGGGGAGCUGGAGGUGAGCAGCCCGAGGCAGGAGGUGCCCGUGUCCAGCAGCAAACAUGAGUCAGCAGCUGCUGGAGGCUGCUCCUCUGCACCAGUGACCUCACCUGACCAGGGCUGCAGGCUGCCUCUGGCACUGCUGGCCUUCUGAAAACAGAACACAGGAAAUGCUUGUAAGCUUACAGAGAAAAAUGUAUUCUUUGUUGUGGAGGUUUAGUGAAGCUGCAGCAUCUUUUGGGAUAAAGACAUGACAAAUAAAGGUGUUGGUCUCACACUGGAUUGCCAUCUUGGUGUUUGUCUGCCUAGGACAGACCCUGAGUUCUUACAAAGCAGAGUUUUGGAGAGGGAGGAGAGAUUUCUAAAGUCUGUCUGAGCAGCACAGAGUUGUGUGCCAGCCCAGCCUGUCCCUGCCAGCCCAGCCAGGAGGAACCAGCCCAUCUCCACUUCUCACUCAUUCCUGGGUUUUAAGGUCUUGGAUACACUAUUUUUCAUUUUCAAGAAAAAGAAACCAAUGUGCAAACUAAAAACCUUGUGAAAGAUGGUUCUUUACCUCUGUGGGGAGGGGCUGAACCACACCAGAGACUCCAGCAAGGGGAACAUUGAUCAUGUGCAGAAGUGCAAAGUGAAUAAUGGCCGUGUUUGUUCAGAGGCUGCCCAGGCAGGAUCUCUUUCCAGAUGAGAUCCAGAUGCUGCCAGAGGAGCAGGAAUCUUCAAAAAUGGGAUAAAAGAGCAACGAGGGCCAUCUGUGAAACUCCUGUGGUUGGCAUGAAGGUUAUUUACCUCUUUUCAGAUAGAGGAGGAUUGACUUGCCAAUUGUUGUCUUUCUGAGUUUUUGUUUGCCCCUCAAAUUAUCUGAUUUCUUUUAAUCCUGAUAGUCCAGAGCCUUUCAGUCCAUUUACUGUUGGCAAAUAACAACACAGCUUUCCACCUUGACCCUCCAAAUCAUUUGCUCCCCAUUUCUCUCACAGUCUAUUCCAGUGGGACACAUGGCCAUGGCACCUUUAAAUCGUUCCACACCCUUUCCUCGAUAAAAUGCAUAAAAUGUGUGCUGGAUUGAUGCCAAAAGAUCCAGAAUGUUGCAAGAGGUAGUCAGACCCUCUUGGGACUGCUGGGAAUAUCAAAGCCAGAGUUCAUCCUGAGCAGAAGGGGGAAGUCACUCCACCAGUCAGGUGCCUGGGAUGGCUGCCUUCCUCUGAUCUUGGCAAAGGUGUUUUUGAAACACACACAAGACAACCUGUCAAGUUCUGGAGAUUCAAUCCAAGGAGAAAAUAGAGAGAGCUGGAACCACAAAACAAGGCUUGGACAAAACAGGGAGUAGUUAAAGGUCAUUUUAAAAAGUCCCGUUGCAAAC